rnacentral:RNase_MRP_RNA from 1 species
GUUCGCGCUGAAGGCCUGUUGCCUAGGCUACAGACGGAGGACUCGGUUCCUCAUUUGCGCCUAGGGGAAAGUCCCCGGAUCUCUGGCAGAGAGUGCCGCGUGCGCAUGCACGUAGACCUCCCCCGCUUCUCCUUGUCAAUCCGCCAAGAAGCGAACCCGUUAGGCGGGGGAGCCGAGCGGUGUGCGGCGGGGGGCGUCAUCCGUCAUCUCCUCUAGUUACGCAGGCGGUGCGUCUUGGCGCACUAACCACACGGGGCUCAUUCUCAGCGCGGC